GUGCUCAAUUUGGCUGCACAUAUACUAAAAUUGGAACAUACAGAGAAGAUUAACUUGGUCCCUGCACAAGGAUGAAUAGUUAAAUAUGUUUACACCAACAGAUGCUG